rnacentral:ncRNA from 1 species
AUCUUCAGGGCAGGGUGAAAUUCCCUACCGGCGGUAAAGCCCGCGAGCCUUAUGGCUGACUCGGUGAGAUUCCGAGGCCGACAGUAAAGUCUGGAUGGAAGAAGAUA